rnacentral:rRNA from 1 species
AACAAACGCUGGCGGCGUGCCUAAUACAUGCAAGUCGAACGGGGAAAGCUUUCGGGUGAGUACUAGUGGCGCACGGGUGAGUAACGCGUGGAUAAUCUGCCUUAGAGUGGGGGAUAGCUAGUCGAAAGAUUAGCUAAUACCGCAUAAGACCACAAGAACUGCGGUUCAAGGGGUCAAAGGUUUUUCGCUCUAAGAUGAGUCCGCGUAAGAUUAGCUAGUUGGUAGGGUAACGGCCUACCAAGGCGACGAUCUUUAACUGGUCUGAGAGGAUGAUCAGUCACACUGGAACGGAGACACGGUCCAGACUCCUACGGGAGGCAGCAGUAGGGAAUAGUACACAAUGGAGGAAACUCUGAUGCAGCGACGCCGCGUGAGUGAUGAAGGCCUUCGGGUCGUAAAGCUCUGUCGCAGGGGAAUAACACAAUGAAGGUACCCUGUAAGAAAGGAUCGGCUAACUUCGUGCCAGCAGCCGCCGCCGUAA